rnacentral:rRNA from 1 species
AACGAACGCUGGCGGCAGGCUUAACACAUGCAAGUCGAACGGAUCCUUCGGGAUUAGUGGCAGACGGGUGAGUAACGCGUGGGAACGUACCCUUUGCUACGGAAUAACUCAGGGAAACUUGAGCUAAUACCGUAUGUGCCCUACGGGGGAAAGAUUUAUCGGCAAAGGAUCGGCCCGCGUUGGAUUAGCUAGUUGGUGGGGUAAUGGCCUACCAAGGCGACGAUCCAUAGCUGGUCUGAGAGGAUGAUCAGCCACACUGGGACUGAGACACGGCCCAGACCCCUACGGGGGGCAGCAGGGGGGAAUAUUGGAAAAGGGGCGCAAGCCGAAUCCAGCCAUGCCGGGUGAGUUAUGAAGGUCUUAGGACUGUAAAGCUCUUUCACCGGUGAAGAUAAUGACGGUAGCCGGGGAAGAAGCCCCGGCUAACUUCGU